rnacentral:rRNA from 1 species
AUUGAACGCUGGCGGCAGGCCUAACACAUGCAAGUCGAGCGGAGCGUCGGACGGGUGAGUAAUGCCUAGGAAUCUGCCUGGUAGUGGGGGAUAACGUCCGGAAACGGGCGCUAAUACCGCAUCCUAUCAGCUGAGCCUGGGUCGGAUUAGCUAGUUGGUUGGGUAAAGUCCUACCAAGGCGACGAUCCGUAACUGGUCUGAGAGGAUGAUCAGUCACACUGGAAAUGAGACACGGUCUAGACUCCGACGGGAGGCAGCAGUGGGGAAUAGUUGACAAGGGGCGAAAGCCUGCUCCAGGCAUGCCGCGUGUAGGCAGAAGGUCUUCGGAUGGUAAAGCACUUUAAGUUGAGAGGCGUUACCAACAGAAUAAGCACCGGCUAACUUCGUGCCAGCAGCCGCGGUAAUAC